rnacentral:snRNA from 1 species
AUCCGUCGUUUUCCGCGGCCG